rnacentral:miRNA from 1 species
CCAACGACGGUCUCUCCAACCGU